CGGGGUGAGUAACGCGUGGGUAACCUGCCUUGUACUGGGGGACAACAGUUAGAAAUGACUGCUAAUACCGCAUAAGCGCACAGUAUCGCAUGAUACAGUGUGAAAAACUCCGGUGGUACAAGAUGGACCCGCGUCUGAUUAGCUAGUUGGUAAGGUAACGGCUUGCCAAGGCGACGAUCAGUAGCCGACCUGAGAGGGUGACCGGCCACAUUGGGACUGAGACACGGCCCAA
rnacentral:rRNA from 1 species